UGGCAGAAUCUCUUAGGAGACAGUUGU
rnacentral:misc_RNA from 1 species